UACGUAGGAGGCGAGCGUUGUCCGGAUUUACUGGGCGUAAAGCGCGCGCAGGCGGCACACUAAGUACGAUGUGAAAUCUCCCUGCUCAACGGGGAGGGUGCAUAGUAAACUGGUGAGCUAGAGGACGGUAGAGGGGGGUGGAAUUGCUGGUGUAGCGGUGAAAUGCGUAGAGAUCAGCAGGAACACCCGUGGCGAAGGCGGCCCCCUGGGCCGAACCUGACGCUGAGGCGCGAAAGCUAGGGGAGCAAACGGG
rnacentral:rRNA from 1 species